GACGAACGCUGGCGGCGUGCCUAAUACAUGCAAGUAGGACGCACAGUUUAUACCGUAGCUUGCUACACCAUAGACUGUGAGUUGCGAACGGGUGAGUAACGCGUAGGUAACCUGCCUAUUAGAGGGGGAUAACUAUUGGAAACGAUAGCUAAUACCGCAUAACAGUAUGUAACACAUGUUAGAUGCUUGAAAGAUGCAAUUGCAUCGCUAGUAGAUGGACCUGCGUUGUAUUAGCUAGUAGGUAGGGUAAUGGCCUACCUAGGCGACGAUACAUAGCCGACCUGAGAGGGUGAUCGGCCACACUGGGACUGAGACACGGCCCAGACUCCUACGGGAGGCAGCAGUAGGGAAUCUUCGGCAAUGGGGGGAACCCUGACCGAGCAACGCCGCGUGAGUGAAGAAGGUUUUCGGAUCGUAAAGCUCUGUUGUUAGGGAAGAACGAGUGUGAGAAUGGAAAGUUCAUACUGUGACGGUACUUAACCAGAAAGGGACGGCUAACUACGUGCCAGCAGCCGCGGUAAUACGUAGGUCCCGAGCGUUGUCCGGAUUUAUUGGGCGUAAAGCGAGCGCAGGCGGUUAGAAAAGUCUGAAGUGAAAGGCAGUGGCUCAACCAUUGUAGGCUUUGGAAACUGUUUAACUUGAGUGCAGAAGGGGAGAGUGGAAUUCCAUGUGUAGCGGGUGAAAUGCGUAGAUAUAUGGAGGGAACACCGGUGGCGAAAGCGGCUCUCUGGUCUGUAACUGACGCUUGAGGCUCGAAAGCGUGGGGAGCGAACAGG
rnacentral:rRNA from 1 species